AACUGACGGGGUCUUCCGAGUGCAUCUGCUGAAGGUGGCUUUUGCUCAGUGUAAUGAUCUGAGUGAAUAAGGGGAGGGCAAGUCUGGUGUCAGCCGCCGCAGUAAUACCAGCUCCUCGAGUGGUUGGGACGAUUAUUGGGUCUAAAGCGUCCGUAGCCGGCUGGAAAAGUUCUCCGUUAAACCCAACGAUCCAAUCGCUGGACUGCGGGGAAUACUCUUCAGCUUGGGGGCGGGGGAAGUCGGCGGUAGUCCAAGGGUAGGGGCGAAAUCCUAUCAUCCUUGGAGGACCACCAGUGGCGAAGGCGGCCGACCAAAACGCGCCCGACGGUGAGGGACGAAAGCUGGGGGAGCGAACGGGAUUAGAUACCCCGGUAGUCCCAGCUGUAAACGAUGUGGGCUAGGUGUUGGGAUGGGUACGGCCCAUCUCAGUGCCGCAGGGAAGCCGUUAAGCCCACCACCUGGGAAGUACGGCCGCAAGGCUGAAACUUAAAGGAAUUGGCGGGGGAGCAACCACAAGGGGUGAAGCUUGCGGUUUAAUUGGAGUCAACACCGGGAACCUUACCAGGAGCGACAGUUGGAUGAAGGUCAGACUAAAGGUCUUACCGGACUAGCUGAGAGGAGGUGCAUGGCCGUCGCCAGUUCGUGCCGUGAGGUGUUCUCUUAAGUGAGACAACGAACGAGACCCGUACCCUUAGUUGCCAGCGGAUUCCUUCGGGAGUCCAGGCACACUAGGGGGACUGCCUCCGCUAAGGAGGAGGAAGGAGCGGGCCACGGCAGGUCAGUAUGCCCCGGAUCUCCUGGGCCACACGCGAGCUGCAAUGGUUGGGACAAUGGGAUCCGACAUCGAAAGAUGAAGGCAAUCUUCAAACCCAACCUCAGUAGGGAUCGAGGGCUAAACCCGUCCUCGUGAACAUGAAUCCCUAUAACCGCGGAUCUCGCGGAA
rnacentral:rRNA from 1 species